AUUGAACGCUGGCGGCGUGCUUUACACAUGCAAGUCGGACGAGUGGCGAACGGGUGAGUAACGCAUCGGAACGUACCGAGUAACGGGGGAUAACUGUCCGAAAGGACAGCUAAUACCGCAUAUUAUUCGAGCGGCCGAUGUGUGAUUAGCCGGUUGGCGGGGUAAAGGCCAACCAAGGCGACGAUCAGUAGCGGGUCUGUGAAGAUGAUCCGCCAAACUGAGACUGAGACGCGGCCCAGACUCCUACGGGAGGCAGCAGUGGGGAAUUUUGGACAAUGGGCACAAGCCUGGUCCAGCCAUGCCGCGUGUCUGAAGAAGGCCUUCGGGUUGUAAAGGACUUUUGUCAGGGAAGCGGUACCUGAUGAAUAAGCACCGGCUAACUACGUGCCAGCAGCCGCGGUAAUAC
rnacentral:rRNA from 1 species